UCGAACGAUUAAACUUCCCUUCGGGGAAGAUAUAAAGUGGCGCACGGGUGAGUAACACGUAAGUAAUCUACCUUCGAGUGGGGAAUAACGUCCGGAAACGGACGCUAAUACCGCAUAAUGCAGCGGCACCUAAUGGUGACAGUUGUUAAAGGAGCAAUCCGCUUGAAGAGGAGCUUGCGGCAGAUUAGCUAGUUGGUAAGGUAAUGGCUUACCAAGGCUACGAUCUGUAACCGGUCUAAGAGGACGGUCGGUCACACUGACACUGAAUAACGGGUCAGACUCCUACGGGAGGCAGCAGUCGGGAAUUUUGGGCAAUGGGCGAAAGCCUGACCCAGCAACGCCGCGUGAAGGAUGAAGUAUUUCGGUAUGUAAACUUCGAAAGAAUGGGAAGAAUCAAUGACGGUACCAUUUAUAAGCUCCGGCUAACUACGUGCCAGCAGCCGCGGUAAUACGUAGGGAGCAAGCGUUGUUCGGAUUUACUGGGCGUAAAGGGCGCGUAGGCGGCAAUUCAAGUCAUCUGUGAAAUCUCCGGGCUUAACCCGGAACGGUCAGAUGAUACUGCUUUGCUAGAGUGCGGAAGGGGCAAUCGGAAUUCUUGGUGUAGCGGUGAAAUGCGUAGAUAUCAAGAGGAACACCUGAGGUGAAGACGGGUUGCUGGGCCGACACUGACGCUGACAGCGCGAAAGCCAGGGGAGCAAACGGGAUUAGAUACCCCGGUAGUCCUGGCCCUAAACGAUGAAUACUUGGUGUCUGGAGUUAUUAGUGCUCCG
rnacentral:rRNA from 1 species